UUUAAAGCUCUUUUUCUUAAAAAAAAAAAAAAGAAAGAAAAAAAAAUCUACAAGCCUGAUGAUUUUGCCGUUUUUCGAAUCCUAACGAACAGAAAACUCACGGUCCAACCAAUCCAACUCCACCAUUUCUGAAGGAAGAAACUUCAAUUCAUCAACUUUCUUUAAUCUCCUUGACAAUGCUCCAACAACAUGAGAUGUUUAGUUGGAUCUCUCUUUAACAGUUUGACAUUGGCUAGGCCAACUUCCUGAUCAUUUUCAUCAGUGGUAACUGGUAACUGGUUUUUACAGUUUCCAUUGAUUAUUUCUUGUACAAUUCAUCAGUUGUUUUCAAUCUCUCUCUCUCUUCUAAUAGAUGGAAAAGGGCAUUCUUAAGUAUGCAAGAGUUACGAUGAGUUGACUGGUUAGGUCCAGACAAUGGGAGAGUCAUAAGAUCGGAAGUACUUUUUCGUCCUUGUAUUCCAAUUUUCCAAAUGUUGUUCAAAAUCCUACUCUUUUUGGUCAGGUAGUCCAUAGCUCAGUUGCCUUCCAUUCUUUGACUCAUUUAUUAGCUAUAUUGUUUUAGAGUUUAAGUUAUUCUGUAUGUCAUUGUUAUCUGUGUUCCAUUCAACUUGAACCAUUUUAAAUUUUACAUUGUUUUAUAAAUGGAACAAUUAAGAAGUUUGUCCCUUUUGUGCCAGCUAUAUAGCAAGUCUUUAAAGAAUUGUUUCCCUUCACUUUGCUAUCGCUUUAUCUUUGCCUAUGCAGUUCAUAGAUUUUACAGAAUUUGGUUUAUUUAUCCCUAUCCACUGGAGAUAUCUAACGACUCAUUGAUCAAGAAACCGAAGAGGUUAACAUCGGUAGUUUGAAAUCGAUUUGAGAAGGCCAAAACGACAGACAUUUGUUAUGAUGUUUGUGUGCAUUGCUACAAGAAGCUCAGUGGCUCAAUUAAUAGCAGAAUCACACAUUUAAGAAAUCAAUUGAUUUGAUGUCUAAAAUGAUUCAAUCAUGACGUUUGUCAACUACUUGCAGCCAAAAGAUUAAAAAGGACGGUUCAAGUGGUCUUGGAAACAUCAGCUCUUCUGAAGGGCAGAGAAAAGAUGAGUUUAAAUAGGCAAUUGUGAAAUAUGAUCUGGAUCAGAGAAAGGAUGAAGUAGUCACCAUUGCAAGUAGUAAGUUUGAUUAAGAGCCGAUUCAGAAUGAUCUUGCUGAGGUUAUCCAUUGUCUAUUGUUGAGCAUGUAGGGUUUAAAGUUUUUGUCAAAAAUGUUCAGCCGUUGUUUUUGUUACUCAAUAGCAUUGUUGAGCUUUCUUGUGUGGAAAUCUAUUAGAAGAAGAAAGAGAAGAUGUUUUAAACCAUCAAUAGAUUGCAGGAUAGAACUAUCGUUUCGGUUGAAAUGUGGCUUUCAUCAGAAAAUAUUGACUAUUUUGACGAGAAUUGGAAAUUACAGAAAAAGCUUUUGAAUUUUAUCACACUUGAUUCAUACUGAGUACAUCCGCUCAUGCUUGAUUAUUAAAGGGACUGGUGGACUGGGACAGUGAGUGUAAGAUAUUUGCACUGUAUUUGAUGAUUUUUCGACCAAUGACGAGAUCAUCAGCAGAAUAAAGAACACAUGUCGAAGAAAAGGCCUCUUUUGAGUAACGGUAGACUAUUUGACGUAUGCCCGGUUGCACAUACCAUGAAUCCAAUUGCUAAAGACGUGACAGAAGCGAUGCAAGAGGUUAACAAAAAGAUUCAAGGGAGUUUUAAAUAUAUCAGAAGUUCACAUGUCACUCAAGAGAGGUUCAAUGAGAUGGCUCAUCAAAUUGGGAUCACCAGUCAGACGAUAUUGGUCUGACAGUCGUGGUCAAUGAAAUUGAAAUGGUUGUGGAAUACAACGAUCCAUUUAAUCUUCUACAAAAGCAUGAUCCUCAGUUGCAUUAGCUCUCUUACUGCUUUAGAGUGGGAAUGGACAAGUAGUGUUGCUGACUAUUUGGAACUUUUUGUCAAAAUCGUGAACUCUUCUCAGGCAACAGAUCUCCUAUGGCAAAUAUAUAUUUUCCUGAGAUAUGUGAUGUCCACAUUCAAUUAAUCAAGUGGUGUAAGAACUCGGAUAAUCUUCUCAACUCCCUUGCAUUGAAAGAAAAAAACCAAGUUUGAUAAAUAUUGGACAAAAUGGAGUCUGGCUUUGGCAGUAGCUGCAGUUCUAGAUCCAAGGUUCAAAUGAAGUUGUUUGAAUACUACGAUUUGCAGAUUUACAGUAGUACAACCUUGGAUCCUAUCAAGGAAACUUCUGAUGGUAUUAGGGAACUUUAUAAUGCAUAUUCAAUCUGCUUUACAAUGGUUGAUCAAGGUUCAGCUUGGCGUGGAAGUAGUUUAUGUUAGAAUUUGUGUCCUAAAACUCAUACUUUGUUAUUUGAUUCAAUAAGAUUUAUUAUUAAAUGCUAUAAUCUUAAAACUAAUAAAUUUAAGGUCCUGAGGCUAUUUACUA